AGGGGCUUCCCAUAUAGGGAGGUAGACCAUUUAGUCCAGGGCCCCACACUGGUUAACCAGUUCUGUUACUGACAAAGCUGGCCCCCUAUAAGAUGGAGUCUUUCCCUGUUCAGUGUCAUGAAACCAAAUGUAGGAAACUGAAAGUGAGUUUCAAGCAGUACAGACUUAUUUAAUGGUCAUGGAAUUGAGAAGUGGGAGCAUGGCUCAUGAGUCAACUUCUUGACUAGAAAAUGGGGCAUAUUGUCCUGGAAUUAUGGCCAACAUUCUACAGGGCAACAGGUCAUUGAUUCUGAUCCUGCCAGCAUCCACCCAUCUUACUGGUGGGCAUCAUCCCAGGGUGAACCUGUGAAAGAUAUUGCUUAGUACUGCUUGGAGCUCACAACCUCAGUUUAAUCAAGAGAAACACACCAG
rnacentral:lncRNA from 1 species